GACGAACGCUGGCGGCGUGCUUAACACAUGCAAGUCGAACGGAAAGGCCCUGCUUGCAGGGUACUCGAGUGGCGAACGGGUGAGUAACACGUGGGUGAUCUGCCCUGCACUUCGGGAUAAGCUUGGGAAACUGGGUCUAAUACCGGAUAGGAGCCAUCUUUAGUGUGGUGGUUGGAAAGUUUUUUCGGUGUAGGAUGAGCUCGCGGCCUAUCAGCUUGUUGGUGGGGUAAUGGCCUACCAAGGCGGCGACGGGUGGCCGGCCUGAGAGGGUGUACGGCCACAUUGGGACUGAGAGACGGCCCAGACUCCUACGGGAGGCAGCAGUGGGGAAUAUUGCACAAUGGGCGCAAGCCUGAUGCAGCGACGCCGCGUGGGGGAUGAAGGCCUUCGGGUUGUAAACUCCUUUCGCUAGGGACGAAGCUUUUUUGUGACGGUACCUAGAGAAGAAGCACCGGCUAACUACGUG
rnacentral:rRNA from 1 species